rnacentral:ncRNA from 1 species
AUUGGAGGGCAAGGCUGGUGCCAGCAGCCGCGGUAAUUCCAGCUCCAAUAGCGUAUAUUAAAGUUGUUGCGGUUAAAACGUUCGUAGUUGAACUUGUGCUUCAUACGGGUAGUAAUACUUACAAUUGUGGUAUUUACUAUACCUAAUGUAUGUAAGCGUAUUACCGGUGGAGUUCUUAUAUAUAAUUUAAUACUUGUAUUUUUUUAUAUAUUCCUCCUAUUUAAACCUACUUCAGUGCUCUUCAUCGAGUGCUGUUGUGGGCCGGUACAAUUACUUUGAACAAAUUAGAGUGCUUAAAGCAGGCUCCAAAUGCCUGAAUAUUCUGUGCAUGGAAUAAUGAAAUAAGACCUCUGUUCUACUUUCAUUGGUUUUUAGAUCAAGAGGUAAUGAUUAAUAGAAGCAGUUUGGGGGCAUUAGUAUUACGACGCGAGAGGUGAAAUUCUUGGACCGUCGUAAGACUAACUUAAGCGAAAGCAUUUGCCAAAGAUGUUUUCAUUAAUCAAGAACGAAAGUUAGAGGUUCGAAGGCGAUCAGAUACCGCCCUAGUUCUAACCAUAAACGAUGCCAGCUAGCAAUUGGGUGUAGCUACUACUAUGGCUCUCUCAGUCGCUUCCCGGGAAACCAAAGCUUUUGGGCUCCGGGGGAAGUAUGGUUGCAAAGCUGAAACUUAAAGGAAUU